CCUAGGGUGGCAGCAGUGGGGAAUAUUGGACAAUGGGCGAAAGCCUGAUCCAGCCAUGCCGCGUGUGUGAAGAAGGCCUUCGGGUUGUAAAGCACUUUCAGUGGGGAAGAAAGCCUUGGGGCUAAUACCCUCGAGGAAGGACAUCACCCACAGAAGAAGCACCGGCUAACUCCGUGCCAGCAGCCGCGGUAAUACGGAGGGUGCGAGCGUUAAUCGGAAUUACUGGGCGUAAAGCGCGCGUAGGCGGUCUGAUAAGCCGGUUGUGAAAGCCCCGGGCUCAACCUGGGAACGGCAUCCGGAACUGUCAGGCUAGAGUGCAGGAGAGGAAGGUAGAAUUCCCGGUGUAGCGGUGAAAUGCGUAGAGAUCGGGAGGAAUACCAGUGGCGAAGGCGGCCUUCUGGACUGACACUGACGCUGAGGUGCGAAAGCGUCGGUAGCAAACAGGAUUAGAUACCCUAGUAGUC
rnacentral:rRNA from 1 species